ACGUCAUCGCACCUCUCCCGCACCGCUCCAUUACCGUAGGAGCCUACUCAGUUAUGCGUUGCUUUAACUUGAGUAUACUAUCGCAUUCAGACAUCUUAUAGCCAAAACAAGUAGUCCAUCUGAAUACGAGACGUAUGAUUGCGCACUGUACGAAAAUAGAUUUCAGUCGGGCAAGAAAUAAUAGCCUAAGCCCGCUUUGUGAAUCUUCGCGCGAUUUUUAUCGAAACAAAUGAUUUGUGGAAAUUAUUAACUUUAUUCAUUUAUUAUUGUCUGCCAAUCCAGACUGGGCCAGCGUGGCAGACUACGGCCUAAACCCCUUCUCAUUCUGAAAGGAGACCCGUGUUCAGUAGUGGGCCGGCGAUUGGUUGAUCAUGAUGAUUCAUUAAUUUUUCACUAUAAGCUUCUUCCAAACUUAAUAAAAACCAAACACAGGAACGGACUUAUUAAAUUGAGCACUCAACGAAUGGAUACAAUACAUACUAUUACAUUACACAAAAUGAGAUGUCUAUUUAUAAAAUACGAGUAUGCAAAUAUUAAUUUAGAGUAUCUGUCCACUCAGUUCUCUCGCUCGCACAUUGAAUUUACAGCAUAAUGUGCGAGCAAGAAAGCAUAAUUAUUUUUGUAAGUCUUAUUCUCACAUGGGCAAAAACUGUUUUAUCUUCGAUACAACCAAGGACGAUAGAUAGGCAAGUUUUAGAAAAGUAAUUUUAAACGACGCAAUCAGUAGAUUCGCCUAGCAUUAGUUUGCGCAUUUCGGAAACUUUGAUGGUUUUCACGAAUUUCGUAAGAUUCACCUAGCAUGAGUUUAUGCAUUUCUCGAAAACUUAUAUGGUUUUCACGAAUUUAGUAAUUCGUAAAGUCUACAUGCCAUGUUAAUUUACCUACCGAUUAAACACCGCUAGCCGUAGAUGUUUGGAGUAACUCGACAUCGAAUUUCGUUUUAGAAAAUUACAUUUCGGACCAAUUUGGCGUUAAAAACUUCCCAUGCGAGAAUAGGCUACGAACAGAUAAACAUUCAUACGAACUGAUCGAAUUUUGAUUUGGCGCGAGUUUGGAAACAAUUGGGGAUAAAAUAUACCUACUUAUAAGGGCACAAUAAACAUAAAGCUCAUUACAUGAUUAAUUAUUAUUAUUAACCUAUAAUUAACUAACAGAAAAACUAAAUCGGUAAAAGUUCGCAGACGAAAUAACCGUCCGCCGCCAAAACAUCAAAACCGUUGGCAAAUUCCAUGAGACCAUUUUCGUUCACAUAAUAUUAUGUUGUAUAUGUAUUAGGAUGAGACGUCACAGUAUAAUAAAUAAGAUAAGGCAUACAUCGAUAUUCCUUAUCCUCAUUGAAUAUAUACUUGUCUAGAUGGAAUAAAUUGGGUAUCGUUUUUACAGCGUUUUUGAUUUUUUGACAAAAUGAAAUAUGUAGUACCAAACAGUUAGUGCCAUAGAUUUUUUCCUUGUCUCUGCUACUUGACGAAAGUUCAAACAGUCCUCAGUUCGAGUUUAAAGAAGUUGUUUUUACGAGUUUAUUUCCACAAUCUGCUGUUUGCAGUUGUUAUAGCUUGCCGGGAUGUUACGGACAUUAUCUUGUAUAAUCGACUUGUUAGCUUCAAACCAUUGAAUGUUGUUAAUCAAUAUGGGCAAUAUACUGUUGCCAAUAUUUUUUAUCUGUGCCGUUGGUACGUCCUUUUUACAGGACAGUAAUCUAGACAGAUAUAUAAUCAGCGGUCAAUAAUACACUUAUGCCAAAACUAAAAAUUACGUUACAAUGUUGACACUUCAAUGGAAGACUACCAUUGAAAUAACAUAAUUCGAAAAAAUAAAUAACGUAGAUAAAUAACGUAAUUUAAUAAUGCCGAUCGACAACAUUAUUCGUACCCUAUCACAAGUGAUGCCUUAUUGUUAUGAAUCUUUAUUAUUAUAAAGAUAUUCGAACAGCAUUAUUAGAUUAAAUUGUACAUUUUAAAAUACAUUAAAUAUGUACCUUCAAAUUAUACAUUUAAAUCUUGUCAAAUCAUUUUGCAGCGCUGAUUAUAAUAAUUCCCAAAUCUUACAUUGUGGAUAACGGCACCACAUACCCGUUAUCUACAAUCUAUUAAACUUAACUCAUCGUUAAACCACGAAAUAAACUUAAAAUCAUCAAUUCACAAACCGUCGUUAGUUCUAACACUACGUAAGUCAACAUUAGCGUCUUCCUUUUUUUUUAAAAGAAUAUUAGCCAUUUUAAUCAUAAGUAAUAUCCUCCUUUCCCCUCCAACUAAGCGUAAAACUUGUGCUAAGAGUAGUAACGAAAAUAGUGCAACGGGUGGGGUUUGAACCGCCAACCUUUCGGAUUUCAGCUCAUUCCGUAGCGAAUGGCUCCGAAAUAUAAAAACCGACAAAAAAUUACUUACGUGGUGUUAGUUUUUAAUUACAUAUAAAUAAUAAAUAAAAUAAAGGUGCACCGACACUUUAUUUCAAUUAGAACACAGUGCCCUAUUUAUGGAACAUUUUUUGACGUUACAUUUUUAAUAAAAAAAAUAUUUUUCAAUAAAUUAAAUACAGUCGUUUUGCUUGUUUUUGGUAUUUGUCUUAAAGUAUGUCUAAAAGGUUAAUUAAUAUUAAAUUAGUUUUCACCAAAAAUUGGCAUUAUAAAUCAAAAGAACUUUUGGCAUCGUGAACUAUAUGAAAACACUUUGAAUAAGAUAAGUAAUAAAUACACUGUAAAAUGAACUGUGGAGUGCCUUAUAUUUAAAAAAAAACAAUUUUUAAUUAAAAACAAAAGUAGACUUCAAGAAAAUUAAAUUUAUUAUAAUUGAACACAAUUGGGACUAAUCAACUAAAUCUUGGAAUAUUUUAAUACUGGAAAUAUCAAAUGUAUUAAGUAUAUUUUAUGGUAUCUACAACCUUCAUAAUAUAUUGGUAAACUAAGUUUCUAUUCAAUUGAGUGUGGGAGCACCUUUAUAAAAAAAAAAUACUCUAAAAUCGCUUUUAUGAUUAUGCACAUUAGACGCAAUAAAUGUUGUGAUACUUGCUGGUCAAAAUUUUUACACAUCAACUAAACUAUUGACGGGUAUCACAAAUGUAUCAUGGUAUUUAAUGACCAUGAACCAUGUAGUCCUUCCUGGUAUUAUGUAAAAGCCUCCGCAGACGACUACAGCAGACGGCAACGGUCCAAUUUCUGUUACGAAUAUUGGAACUCCUGGUAAAUGAAAUCGUAGAGUAUCAUCUUAGGAUCUGAUGUUUAAGCGUCAACUAUGCUUAAAUCUGUCAUGCAGGUUGAAAUCUAUAGAGCGCACUUUGACUUUGCUUAGACUCAAGUUACAGUUAAAACGAGACAGAACACCGCCUUCUUUUUUCAACUUUCGUGACAAGUACGGUUAACUUUCGGCCGUUUCUUUAGUCUGCGGGGGCCUUAAGUGUACAUGUAUAAAAUAUGCUUAACUUAGUUUUUAGAAUAACAUCAAGACUUUAGUCUGCGGGGAAUUUGUGUACGUAUAAAUAUUAUUAUAAUAGUUUAUGAUAAGACACGAGGGCCUUACGCGACAUCUGCUCGUGAAAUCCGAGGGUUGCAUCUAAAUGAGUACAGGAACAACAAACCCAUGACAAUCAUUGUAGCCCCCUUAGCACCGAACUUAUCAUUAUAACAUUGUGAUCAUCGCAAUUAAAUCAGAAAUGAGGAGAACCAGAGGAACCGACAUCCUCAACGGGUUGCGAAACUAAAAUGGCAAUGAGGACACAUCGCUCGACAGAUAGAUAAUAUUAGGGUUAUAAGCUGCUAGAAUGGCGACCUCGCGUCAAAAAACAACAUCGGAAGCCUCCCACUAGGUGGACAGACGACAUCAGACGAGUCACAAGGAGCCACUGGAUUCGGACUGUGGAUAUCCAGCAGUUGACGUCUAUCGUUUAACGGUAAAUUUUACAGGUAUAGCAUGAAAGGAUUUUGAUAAUGGCAAUAGGGAUGAUAACUACUAGUCAAAUUAGUGACUUUUUAUCGAACGUCAAAAACAACGAUAGUUAAAAAUGGUCAGCAAACUCAAAACUAACAGCGGACGAAUACGAAUUUUGGAGGCCCUCUAUUUAAUAAUCCCUAAGAAAUAAUUUAUUUUUGACAUAGUCAUCAUUCCAAUAAUUGUCGUGAUUGGCUGAAGUUAUCUUGCUACAAAUGUGUAGUAACCAACGAUGAAAUAGUAGCUAAUCGGAAGUGAUUGCGACAAUCACAUUGUAAUUAUCAAAGUUCGGUGCUAGGAACUUGUCACUUUACCCGUUAAUUAUACAGAACAUAGACAAUAGACUUAUCAUAGCAUCAUAACAUGGUACUAAUUGAUUUAUUAUCAGUAAACCUAGUACGAGUUUGCACAUAUCGAACACCGAUAGUUUUCGUGAGUUUCAACGACAGUGCCUAUGUAUUACCGAUUUUUAGU